UAGACGAUGCGUCAUGCAUAUCAAUAAGCGGAGGAAAAGAAACUAACAAGGAUUCCCCUAGUAACGGCGAGUGAAGCGGGAAGAGCUCAAAUUUGAAAUCUUAAAGGGGUUUCCCUUUACGAAUUGUAGUUUAAAGAAGUGUUUUCUGUUAGAGUUUCGGUAAAAGUUCCUUUGGAAUAGGACAUCAUAGAGGGUGAGAAUCCCGUAUUUGACCGUUACUUUCCUAGCUGUGUGAUACACUUUCAAAGAGUCGGAUUGUUUGGGAAUGCAGUCCAAAAUGGGUGGUAAAUUUCAUCUAAAGCUAAAUAUUGGCGAGAGACCGAUAGCGAACAAGUACCGUGAGGGAAAGAUGAAAAGAACUUUGAAAAGAGAGUUAAACAGUACGUGAAAUUGUCAAAAGGGAAGCGUUUGACACCAGUGUUGUUUAAUUGAAAAUCAAUUCAAUAAUUUUUGAUUCUAAGUAGUAUUGACUUCAUCAGCUUGCUGCUUUCUUCUCAGAAAUUAUUGAAUGCACUUUUCAGUUAACAAGUCAACAUCAAUUUCUUUUGUUGUAAAAGGGUAAGAGGAAGGUGGCUUGCGCUUCGGCUCAAGUGUUUAUAGCCUUUUACCUCUGCAAUCGGAGAGAUUGAGGUCUGCAGCGUAGAUCCUUCGGGGUUAGAUACAUUUGUGCUAAGCUAUAGCCUUGUAUAGACAACUUGUUGACUAUGCUCAGUCAUGUAGUUUACUCGCAAAUGCUAUUUUACCUACGCUUAGGAUGUUGACGAUCAGCUGAGCGCG
rnacentral:rRNA from 1 species